UAUCAGCUGAACAUCUGGGUACCGAUUUUCUGCAAAAUCGGCAAACUCGCAGAUAGCGCACAUAAUUUUCUGGACGAUUUACGCAUAGUGUAGCUCGGCCUUUAGGAAGUGAAAAUUUGUUUUAUGUCAGGGUGGCUACGUUUUUGUGAAUUACUGUGAGACGUGAGUGGACCUGGUGACCAUGUCGGCACCACCGCCAUCAUCAGGCGACCCGGGCGCAUUCCGACCGGGUGCCGCUGCUGCACCCUGUUCACAGAUUGAGCUGUCUAUUGCCUGCAGUGGCUUGAGAGAUCUCGACAUUACAUCCAAGUCAGAUCCCUGCUGUAUUCUGUACCUGGCCGAGGGCACCGGCGGCAACUUCUUUGAAGUCGGCCGAACCGAGGUCAUCAAGAACAAUCUUAAUCCGGAGUUUGCGACAAAGUUUCAAAUCAGCUACAAAUUUGAAGAAAAACAGCUGCUGCGAUUUGAGCUGUACGACUGGGAUGUGAAGGUGUCGGCGACGAGCGAGCAGGACUUUCUCGGCAGAGUGCAGUGCUCUGUGGGCGAGCUCGUCUCGGCGAGUCGUAAGUUCAGCCGGCCAAUCGAGGGCGGCUCGGGCACGCUGCGUGUCUCCGCCGAGGAGGUAGCCUCGUGCCGUGAGGUGCUCACCCUCUCUGUCAGCGCGCGCAAGGUGGACAAAAAGGACUGGUUCAGCAAGAGCGACCCGUUCCUGGCCAUCAGUCGUGUCAACGAGGACAACUCGUACACGCUGGUGCACCGGACCGAGGUGGUGAAGCGCAGCCUGAACCCCGACUGGAGGACGUUCACCAUAUCGCUGGUGAAGCUCUGCAACGGCGACAAGCAGCGCCAGCUCAAGCUCGAGGUGUCGGACUGGGACGACGACGGCAGCCAUGACGUCAUCGGCAGCUGCUACGUGACCGUGGAGCGUCUGCUGCAGCCGGCCUCGGCCGCCGCGCCCAACACCCACCCGCUCAUCAACGAGAAGAAAAAGGCCAAAAAGAGGAAGUACAAAAACUCGGGCACUCUGGUGGUCAACUCGGCCCGCCUCACCACGCAGCCUACGUUCCUCGACUAUGUCCAGGGCGGUACCCAGCUCAACUUUACCGUGGCCGUCGACUUCACGGCUUCCAACGGACCUCCGACCGACCCGCGCUCGCUGCACUACCGAGACACGCGCGGCGGGGACAACCAGUACAUGACGGCUAUCCGAGCCGUGGGCAGUAUCAUACAGGACUACGACUCAGACAAGAUGUUCCCCUGUCUGGGAUUCGGGGCGCGCGUGCCGCCUAACGGAGAGGUGUCUCACGAGUUCUUUCUGAACGGUCAUCCGAGCAACCCGUUCUGCCCUGGCGUCGACGGAAUUCUGCAGGCCUACUAUCACUCGCUGAACACAGUCCAGCUGUACGGGCCGACAAACUUCUCGCCUGUUCUUCGUCACGUGGCCCGCUUCGCCGCCAGCUCUCAGGACGGCAAAAACUACUUUGUUCUGCUUAUCAUCACCGACGGCAUCAUCACAGACCGUGCAGAUACGGUGGCAGCGCUGGUGGAUGCCUCCUCUCUGCCCAUGUCGGUCAUCAUCGUCGGAGUCGGCUCCGAGGACUUCUCGGCCAUGGAGUACCUGGACUCGGACAACCAGAAGCUGCGCGACGACCGCGGCAGGAUCGCCGCCAGGGACAUCGUCCAGUUUGUCGAGCUGCGCCGCCAUCUGCAGACUGGAGGCGCCGGCGGCCGCGACCGGCUGGCGCGCGACGUGCUCGCUGAGCUGCCCGCCCAGCUCACCGAGUACAUGCGGCUGCGCGGCCUGAAGCCGGGCGUGGCGGCCAGCGGGCCGGCGCCGCCACCGCCGCCCGACCCCAGCCUGCCCACCGUCACGACCUACUGAGAAUUGCAGGCGGUACUGGGACGCCAGGGCGUCGGGCCCAGCACUCAGGCUGCGUUGGCCAGUCGCGUUCUGGCGGAGCUGCCCGGGCAGCUGGUCGACUAUAUGAAGAUGAAGGGUAUUUCGCCGUCGCCACCACCGGUCAUGGCGCCCGGCCCUGCGCGGUAGAUCCGCCUGCCGAGUUAUCGGAGGGCGUCUGCGUCCAUCGGCUCUUCCAGGAAGUUGAUAACAGGUAGAGGAGAGAGGAAGAGGGCGCUGUAAAGUGUUGUGGAGACCGUGAAUUCUCUCGCAACGAAUCUUUCAGGCAAACUCGUUAUUUUUAUGAGGCGUGUUUUGUUUUUGCUUGCCUGAACUACGAUAUUUCAGUGUGCCUAUCUAAUCGUCCUGACGCCUGUAAAUGGGACGAUCGCUCGCACAAUAGCUGUAGUACUUAAUCACCAUCAUCCAGGAAUUUGCCAGGACCAUUGGUGUCAAGUACAAGUAACUACUGCCUCUCUCAGAUACUGACACUGUACUGUAGUAUAAUUCUUCCCCAGGCUACGCUUCGUUUUCACUGCCUUGACUAUAGCCUUGCCAGCCGUGGGGAUUUUCCAGAAGCAUUUUUACCAUCGUCUUUUUCGAAGCAUUUUAAUAUAGUUCAUACAUGUGCGUGUUAUGCUUAGAGCGUACUGUAACUCUGUGAUUUGUUUACAUAACAAAUGAGUUGUGAUGUUAUGAUUAAUAACUAUCAUAGAUCACAAGAGGAACUAAGAGCUACUAGGGCUAGUUAAGUUGAUAUUUUUAUUAUAUGUCCAACGGACGCUGAAUAUAAUGCUAACGUGAAGCAAAGCAGUAAAAAUAUUCCACUUUUUAGAAACUAGUAUCGUUAUUACGCAGCUUUAAAGGGACUCUCCCACCUUCAAAAAAGUAAAUGAAUUGGCAUAAAAGUGGCGCUUAGUUCAAAUUCAGCAAAUAUGAAUAUCUACCGAAUUUCAUUGAAAAAUACAAAUCGGUUUUUGAGAUAUUAGACAUAAAUCUUAAAAAGUGCAGCAUUUGCGGCAGAUGUUGCGCGCAAAUAGCAUAUACCACCACUGCUUCACAAAAAUCUUAGUAUAGAUGUUGUGUAAGUUAAUACGCAGCGCAUUGCAGUGGGCCAGUGGCAUACAACAUGCUUGAUUCCAACGUGUAUCCAGGGCAAUGUGCCUAUUUUUGCUUUGUCUUGAUUCUUCUGAAAUGUAUUGUAUUUUCCUGUCGAUUUAAAUCCUGUUUUCUCAGUAAUAAAGUGCAUUAUCACCACUUAAGAUUUAUCAUGUAUCCUUAUGCGCUAGCUCUUUGACAAAAUCCGCAAAAGGACAAUGACAUAAAAAAGUCAUUGUUCAUCAUCUGACCGAUCUGACCAAUGCUUACCAAUGAUUUUUCGUUAUAUUCAUUGUGUAUUAAACCAUGUCAGCGAGAGGAACUUGCGGUACUCUGUUGGCCUAUCCGUUCUUGUUUGGUUUCCGGUCAAUCGCAGUCGGUAUUGGCCACCUUUUCGGUAGUGCUACAUCCUCUGAUUCAGGAGUCACAUCGGCGGUGGCUGUGUACUCUUUUACUCUAACGCUUUUACUCUAAGGUAUCAUUUGCUACUACUGGGGAACUUUGGAUAUCGAAUGCAUGCGAGAAUGAAAUGCUAUUAUAGAAUUCAUAGUCAUUGAGGAGGCGCAGGCUGCGAGGUCGUAUUCAAGGUCGUUUAAGUUGAUUGUGCAAUCUGUUUUAUUGGCGAUCGGUGUUUGCAAUAAUUUGUUCAUUUGUCCAAUGCUAUUUGCCAGUGGUAUCAUUCAAAAUAUAUGAUAUGGCCAUUU